rnacentral:rRNA from 1 species
AGGGUUUGAUCCUGGCUCAGGAUGAACGCUAGCUACAGGCUUAACACAUGCAAGUCGAGGGGAAACGACAUCGAAAGCUUGCUUUUGAUGGGCGUCGACCGGCGCACGGGUGAGUAACGCGUAUCCAACCUGCCCACCACUUGGGGAUAACCUUGCGAAAGUAAGACUAAUACCCGAUGAUAUCUCUAGACGACAUCUGAAAGGGAUUAAAGAUUUAUCGGUGAUGGAUGGGGAUGCGUCUGAUUAGCUUGUUGGCGGGGUAACGGCCCACCAAGGCAACGAUCAGUAGGGGUUCUGAGAGGAAGGUCCCCCACAUUGGAACUGAGACACGGUCCAA